rnacentral:ncRNA from 1 species
CCAAUAAAAUAUAACUUACUCUUUGAGCGUAGAGAUGCGUUCGUUAAACUGGGUGAAUUGCUGGAAAGCUAAACUAUUAAAGUAGCAUGCCGAUCAGCAGCCAAGUCCGUGAAUAGCAUAACAGUAACGGAAAGGUUCAGAGACUAGAAGAAUGAAUAGCUAAAUAAUAACUUCUUCCAAGAGUGCCCAGUUCAAUAAAUUAUUAUAUUUACACGAAUAUGUGUUUCUAUAAAUGGGAACCAUAAUAUUGAAAGGAUAUAAUAAAAUAGUAAAUAUCAUAAAUUUAUUGAGAUGAUAUAGUCCAAACUGAGUUGGAAGUGACCA